GUAAAAAAAAAAUUAGUAUAAAAUAUAAUUUAUAAAAAUAAUUUUUAAUAAAAUAUUUAUAAUUGGGGGGUUUAAGUAUUUUUAUAGAAAAAAUUUUUUAAUUUAUAAAGAAUUAGUAUUGUGAAAGAAUUUUGAAAUAUUUGAAAAUUAAUUUUUUUUUAAGUAAAUUUAAUUUAUUGUAUCUUGUGUAUCAGAGUUUAUUAAUAAAAUAUUUUAAAUAAAAAUUUUCUCGAAUUUAAAAGAGUUAAUUAAUUAAAAAAUUUAUUGUAGCAAAAAUAUUUUUCAUAAUUAAUUAGAAAUGAAAUGUUAAUCGUUUUUAAAUAUAUCUAGUUUUUUUAGAAAAAAAUUUAAUUUUAAUUUAUUUUAAUAAUAAUAUUAAUUAAAAAAUAUUUUUAAAAAAUAAUUUAAUAUUUUAAGGGAUAAGCUUUAAUUUAAAUUAAUUAUAAGAUAAUUUUUUUUUAAUUGUGAAAAUUUUAAAAUUUAUAUUGUUUAAAAAUUAUAAUUUUUUAUAAAUAAUUUCAUUAAAAAUAAAAUUUAAUAAAAAUUUAAUUUUUUAUAAAAAAAUAAAAUUUAAUUUAAAAAUUUUAGUUAUAAUGAUAAAAUUAGUAUAAAUAUUUAUAAUUAAUUAUUUUAUAUUAAAUAUUAUUAAUAAUAAAUUUAUUUGAAGAAUAAAUUAUAAGGAAUUCGGCAAAAAUUUAUAUUCACUUGUUUAUCAAAAACAUGUCUUUUUGAAUAAUAAUUAAAAGUCUAAUCUGCCCACUGAUAAGAUUAUUAAAGGGCUGCAGUAUUUUGACUGUACAAAGGUAGCAUAAUCAUUAGUCUCUUAAUUGGUGACUUGUAUGAAAGAUUGGAUGAAAUAUAUACUGUCUUAUUUUUUUUUAUAGAAAUUAAUUUUUUAGUUAAAAAGCUAAAAUAAAUUUAAAAGACGAGAAGACCCUAUAGAGUUUUAUAUAAAAAAUAAUUAAAAAUUUUUUUAUUAAUUUUAAGUUAAAAUUAUAUUUUAUAUUUUGUUGGGGUGAUAGAAAAAUAAAGUAAACUUUUUUUAAUAAAAAUUAUAAAUUUAACAUUUAUAAAUGAUUAAAUGAUCCAUAAUUUUUGAUUAUAAGAUUAAAUUACCUUAGGGAUAACAGCGUAAUUUUUUUUUUUAGUUCAAAUAAGAAAAAAAGUUUGCGACCUCGAUGUUGGAUUAAGAUAAAAUUUAAAUGCAAAAGUUUAAAAUUUUGAUCUGUUCGAUCAUUAAAAUCUUACAUGAUCUGAGUUCAAACCGGUGUGAGCCAGGUUGGUUUCUAUCUUUAAAUAAUAAAAAUAUUUUAGUACGAAAGGAUUAAAUAUUUAAAAUAAUUUUAUAAUAAUUGAAUAUUAAUAAAAAUUUAUUUAAAAAAUAAAAAUUAAA
rnacentral:rRNA from 1 species